UUUUAGUCCCAAUAGUAGCGACAUCCUUUUUAUGGCGACUGAGGUGCUCGAAGUUGCCAGAAAAAGAUAUAGCGUAUAGCGGGAAAAAGC
rnacentral:sRNA from 1 species